ACACCGGUGGUGUAAUGGUUAACAUACAAGGCUCAUGUUCUUGUGUAGUGGGUUCGAUUCCUACCCGGUGAC